GGGUCAGUAGGUUGGUCGUGCCACCGGUACGUACUGGUCUCACUGAUUCCUCCUUCCUGAAGAGCCGUAAUGCCAUUAAUUUGGUGUUGCGGGGAAACAGGACUGUUACUUUGAAAAAAUUAGAGUGUUUAAAGCAGGCUAACGCUUGAAUACAUUAGCAUGGAAUAAUGAAAUAGGACGAUCGAUCCUAUUUUGUUGGUUUCUAGGAUUGACGUA
rnacentral:rRNA from 1 species